GACAGGACCUCAGCUGACCGAACGACGACACGUCUGCACUCAGCACGAUUUGACCGUGUUAUGUCUUGCCCAUGCGCAAAGGAAAGACUGGAGUGAAAAUGAAAGUAGAUCAAAAAGCACAUGUGUAAACACAGGGGAACAAUUAUUAUAGCUGUUCACGAAUAAAAGUGACAAUAGAUAAGUACAAUUGUUGGCGAAUUGUAAAAUUAAAUCGUUUUAUAUUGCUUUAGAGUGUCAGCAGUACGAACAUCGAUAUUUCGGACAAUGCCAGUUAUUGUGACGAUGAAGAAAGCGAGCACCUGGAGCACAACAUCAUGAACAUGAUACUAAUCAAAUAAAUGAGAUCAUGAACGAGAUGCUAUGUUUGGAUCUUCUGGUUAUAAGGUUGACGACAAUGGUGAAAGUGAUGAAGAAGAGGCGGCCGGCUGGGGGGGGGGGGGCGAUGAAUAUAAGAUGUGGAAAGAUAUAUCAAGGAAUACUGAUGAAUAUGACAAGAUGGAGGUGGAUACCCUUUCAGAUAGAUGAUUUAUUGUUGGAGAGAGGGAAAUAUUGGACCUGCUUAAAAGGAGCAUGUUUCAAAGAGUGAGGUGGACCAAUACUCUGCUCUUCGUUGUUGAGGCAGAGAAAAUAGCUGCAGGAGUAAAGUAUUAAUUUACCUGCACAGUACAUAUGAGGGUCAUGUAGGAAAAUGGAUGUCUACACAAUUUUAUGGAGAGAGAAAUGCUGUUGCAAUCCUGCUGCAACUUCUGGUCCUUCAUUUUUGGGUAUCAUGGGAUCAGUUUACCGUUGGUUCCAAAUUUAUUGAUCUUGCAUAAGG